rnacentral:rRNA from 1 species
AGUAACGCGUGGGUAACCUGCCCUAUACACAUGGAUAACAUACUGAAAAGUUUACUAAUACAUGAUAAUAUAUAUUUACGGCAUCGUAGAUAUAUCAAAGUGUUAGCGGUAUAGGAUGGACCCGCGUUUGAUUAGCUAGUUGGUGAGAUAACUGCCCACCAAGGCGACGAUCAGUAGCCGACCUGAGAGGGUGAUCGGCCACAUUGGAACUGAGACACGGUCCAAACUCCUACGGGAGGCAGCAGCC